rnacentral:tRNA from 1 species
GGCCUGUUAGCUCAGUUGGUUAGAGCGUCGUGCUAAUAACGCGAAUGUCAUGGGUUCGACCCUCAUAUAGGCCA